AGGAGACAGGUGCUGCAUGGCUGUCGUCAGCUCGUGUCGUGAGAUGUUGGGUUAAGUCCCGCAACGAGCGCAACCCUUAUCUUUAAUUGCCAGCAUUCAGUUGGCACUUUAAGAGACUGCCGGUGUUAAACCGGAGGAAGGUGGGAUGACGUCAAAGUCCUCAUGGCCUUUAUGCUUAGGGCUACACACGUGCUACAAUGGGUGGUACAAAGAGAAGCCAACUCGCGAGAGCGCGCCAAUCUCAAAAAGCCAUCCUCAGUUCGGAUUGGAGUCUGCAACUCGACUCCAUGAAGUUGGAAUCGCUAGUAAUCGCGGAUCAGCAUGCCGCGGUCGAAUACGUUCCCGGGCCUU
rnacentral:rRNA from 1 species